AUGGUACCCAAAGUCCAGCGACAUCCGAAGCUGUAUCUUGCUCGCGAACUUGCCCUCCUUCUUCUCGCCGUCGUCGCUGGGACGCGCAAGGCUGUACCAGCGCGGCUCCACGGGCUUGCCGAAGUGGUCAUGCCGCGUCAUUGCGGCAUUGAGGGGCAGCAUAAUGCGCCCGAGCGGCUCGUCACGGCCUGGCCCGACGCGGUCCUCCACGGUGACGAGCAAGGGCUCGUCGAAUGGCUCCGACGCGACAAACAUGAACUCCUCGUUCCACAUCGGGUUGGGCGUCCCCGGCGGCCCGCCCGGGCGAGUGCGCCGCACCUGCCCGGCGAGCUGCAGCUUGACGGAGGCGUUCAUGGGGCGGGACGUGUCGUGGGGCACCAGGUCCUGCGCCCCGAUGGCUGCGACGCGGAGGUACACGAGCUUGGGCGAGAAGUAUACCUUGGCGCGCGUGGAGGCGACGGCCGAAGGGCCAGCCGCCCCGUGUGCAUCGGAAUGCCAGGCCUCCGGGAACGCCUCGUCAGCCUGGGUCCCGAGCCAGACCGACAGCAUGAUCUCGCCGUGGUGGAGCUUCUCCCCGCGCUUGCCGUCGAGCCUGUACCACUGGGGCGCCAGCGGGGAGUCCGGCGGCACGCGGACCGGCACCUCGGAGAGGUCGAACCCUAUGCGGCCGACCAUGUCGUCGCCGCCGGCGAGAUCCUUGGCCUUGACGGCGACCUCGAGCAGAUGCGACUGGAGGUGCGUGGCCGAGAAGGCGAAGACCUGGUGCCAGGAGGGGCUGUGGUGGCCGGCGAGGACGGCGGUGGUGCCCUUGAAGUUGCCGAGCUUGACCUCGACGAAGGGGUCGAUGGAGCCGGUGGGGGAGACGGCGGGGAGGUCCCGCGCCUUGACCACGUGCACGUAGAGGAAGCGCAUCGGCUCAACGAGGUCGUAGGUGGAGGAGAUCUUGCCGGCCGCGCUGGCGGCGGCGGCGGAGGGGUUGAGGCCCGGGAUGUUGAAGCGGGGCCGCAGCAUGGCGGCCAGCGGCGGGCGCGUCUCCGUCAGCCCGAACUGCUGCUGCGGCGGCGCCAUCGGGCCCCCCGGCCCGUGCAUCAUGAACGGCCGCGGCUGCAUUGCUCCCUUCAU
rnacentral:rRNA from 1 species